rnacentral:rRNA from 1 species
GUCCACGCCGUAAACGAUGGAUACUAGCUGUUGGGCGCAAGUUCAGUGGCUAAGCGAAAGUGAUAAGUAUCCCACCUGGGGAGUACGUUCGCAAGAAUGAAAACUCAAAGGAAUUGACGGGGGCCCCGCACAAGCGGUGGAGCAUGUGGUUUAAUUCGAUGAUACGCGAGGAACCUUACCAAGGCUUAAAUGUAGUCUGACCGAUUUGGAAACAGAUCUUUCGCAAGACAGAUUUACAAGGUGCUGCAUGGUUGUCGU